CUUCUCUUUAAAUAAAGUAGGAACGUAUGCAUCGCGCGUUUUGAGUGUUUUGUCCCUCAUCGCACACCAUCGUGGGGUUAUACAAACAAUGCAGUACCACUCAGAGUUUUCCCAAAUCUUUUUUCACGGUUUUACAAAUAAGGACUUCGACUGCGUCUUGAACAUGUGAGAUGUCUGUGGUACGGAGAGCUAAAACGUGGGAAAUCUCUGAAUCUGAGGACAGCGACGCUGAAACAAAACCCGGUUUGAGCUGCGAUGACAGCAGGCAGACAGCCAGCACAGAAAAGCAGGAGCAGGGUUCAUACAGUUCAGCAGCAAAUAGGGGAGGGUCUGCUGCUCUGGCCCCUCCACCAGCAGGUGGGUCCGGUAAACCGAGUCCUGCGAGGAAACGUCGUAGUAAGGAGGAAAUAGAAGAGGACAGACUGAAAGUGAAGGAGAGGAAGGAGGCGAGAGAGAGACAGAGAGCGGCCAGAGCCCAGGAGAAGGAGGAGAGGAGACAGGAGCAGCAGAGGAGGAGAGAGGCGGCCCAGACCCUCAAGAGUCUCCGGCCAGAAAACUGCCUCAAAUGCAUCACUGUCUGCAUACACCCAGCUCUUCUGCAGCAGGAUGGCUCGGACGUCCUGCUGGACACUCUGGUUUCCCUUGACUGGAAGUUCAGCAUCGAGAGCGAUCAGCUCGUUAGCAGCAUUGCCUGGACCCGAGAUUUACCUCAGCAGGGAGAAGGUGCCAUGGUCGCAGUGGUGGAGGAGGAGGAGGAGCAGGUGCUUCUGGUCCUGAAUCUGGCUGAUUUCAUGGAUGUAGUGAUCUCUGUGAAAAGAGU
rnacentral:lncRNA from 1 species